CUCAGGAUGAACGCUGGCGGCGUGCUAACACAUGCAAGUCGAACGAGGGUUACCGGUUGAAAUUUCGAAUGGAAACGGGUAAUACCUAGUGGCGGACGGGUGAGUAACGCGUGGGAACCUGCCCCAUUCCGGGGAUACCAGUUGGAAACGACUGUUAAUACCGCAUAAGCGCACAGUACUGCAUGGUACGGUGUGAAAAAACCACGGUGGAAUGGGAUGGACCCGCGUCUGAUUAGCCAGUUGGCAGGGUAACGGCCUACCAAAGCGACGAUCAGCAGCCGGCCUGAGAGGGCGACCGGCCACAUUGGGACUGAGACACGGCCCAAACUCCUACGGGAGGCAGCAGUGGGGAAUAUUGCACAAUGGGGGGAACCCUGAUGCAAGCGACGCCGCGUGAGUGAAGAAGUAUUUCGGUAUGUAAAGCUCUAUCAGCAGGGAAGAAGAUGACGGUACCUGCACAAGAAGCCCCGGCUAACUACGUGCCAGCCGCGGC
rnacentral:rRNA from 1 species